CUCCGCUUGGUGUAGUUGGUUCAUCACGUCUGACUGUAAAGGUUCACUCCAUUAGCUGUUAUCAGAAGGUCCCUAGUUCGAUUCUGGGAGCGGAGA